GGGAAAAUAGCAUAAUGGUUAAUGUCCCACUUUGUCGAAGUGGUUUAUGGCGGUUCGAUCCCGCUUUUUCUCG
rnacentral:tRNA from 2 species